AAGAUGCACACUUAUCUGGCAGUUCUGGAGAUCAUGAAAACCUGAUGUUUAAAGAGCGUCCACACAACUUCUCAAAAAGUCAUGAUAUGUCUGACAAAGUGGAAGCUUCUCGUAAAGUAACAGAGCUUGAGAAUGAACUGAACACUAAGUGAGAAGAGAGAGGUCACCUGUACUCAAGCAGGUCUCACCUUGGCAGUCGAUUUGUGGGGUGGGCCUGAAGAGGAAGGAACAAAUGUCCUUCUAAGUGAUGUUUAAUUUCUUUUUCUGAAAUGGUUGCAAUUGAGAGAUGUUCCACAUCCAAGAAAUUUUGUCUUACUUUACCAAGAAAAAUCCUGCCUAGUUCUUAGAGAUCUGACAAAGGUGAAGUUACCCGUUCUUGUUAGCAUUGGCACUCUUGGACCCAGAAGGCAGAAUGAAGGGCUUUAAAGAUGACAGGGUGUUUCCUCUACCCUACCUUUUCCAUUGUCAUUCCAAGGGCAGUAGGCCUAGACAUUAUCUUUUUGUUCUUUCUAAAACCUCCAUUUUCCUACCAGACAGUGAUCGCCGAAAAUUUCAGAGCACUACUGUGUCUCUGGAAUGCUGAUUCUCCCAGAAUUUCUUUUAUUGUUGAGAAUAUUUUCCAUAUCCUGUGUUUUUUGUCAUUCUAGAUGAAUUUGAGAAUUGCUCUUGUCUGCAGGAGACAGGCCUCUCAGCCUAGGGCAUUCCUGUGUCAUUGGGGACCCUGUAUGCAGGAGACAGGUCUCUUAGGGCAGGUGAAAUGUUGCCUGUACGUUCUUUAAUUUGCAUGAGUUGGCUGCAAGGAGUUGUUAAUGUAAGGCGCACAACACAUCAUUCAUCUAAAAUGUGAGCCUCCUGAUCCAAUGUAAAUGUUUGAGAUUGAAUAUCUAAUUCAUAAUUUAAUUUCCAAAAUUCUAGAGAAAGGUUUCAGAUUUGAUGCUAGGGAUUUUAUUUUUAUCAAUUCAAAUCACCAGAAUACUAAUCAUUAGUGGAAAGCAAAGGUGACAGUUCUAUUAGAGUUAACUAAUACUUCAGUGGUUCCAAAGGCUGUAGAGCUCUCACAGCAUUACACAGCAUUCUUGCAAGCAGGAGCAAAGACGUCCGAGAUAAAUGGGAGCUCAUGGGUGGCUGUCAAACACAGCUAUCUCAGAAGUUGUAAAUUUAGUAAAGAGAUUUAUAAACUCUGUCAGGAAAGGAAGAAGCGUGUUGCUGUGCCCCCUGUGACUUAAGUGCUAUAAGAACACUUGUGUCAGUUGAGUCUGCAUCUCUUUCUCAGCGUAACAGAUUUAUUUAAUUUUAAUUCCUGAAUUUUGCAUCCUCACUCCUCAGUUGAGCUAUGGGAGAAAGGCCUGUUUGCUUAUUUUGUGUGAAAGGUGACUUUAUGAUUUCAACACAUUUUCUUUUUCAGAAUCUCUAAUAUGGUUUCAGAAGAACUUUCUGUUCCAUAGAAAUCUGUGCAUCAGGGAAAUAAUCACAAUUUUAAAUAAAACGGAAGCAUUUGAAACCCAAAAAUUCUUUUUAAUAAGAGCUGUACGAUCAAUUGUUGAAAUACAACCAUUAGUAUUUUUUACGUUUAUCAAGUUUCCUAUUUGAAAGCAUGUCUUUGUUUUUUCCUCUGUAAGAGAAUAGAAUGUCCCAGAGAGCUGAUGAAGGAUUUGCACACUUGUCUUGCCCAGGAAGUGCAUUCUCCUUGUGUCUGCAGCACAUAGGGAGCCUUUGAUAGCAUAAAAAGAAGCCUUUGAUACCUCCCAAAGAAGAGCAGGUACCUGCUGUCCCUAGUGCAUGGGAAGACAGAUGCACUCAAGAACCUGCAAGCAUCUGAAAACACUGCAUGUGUGUUUGUGAGACCUGUAGAGAAGUAGACUUGGCCAUCCCUGGACAGUGAGGUCAGAUGUGAAUAAGUGUUGCAAGAGCACAUUGAAUAGCAUACACUACUGUUGGGAAAUGUUUUCCUAAGGCCUGGACUCCCCAAACUACACACUGAUAAGCCCAUUGCCUUAAAGGUCUUCUGGUCAUUCACGUUUCAAAUGUAAGUGGCCGCUCAGUACUGAUGGAAGGAAGGUAUGUUUUAUUAUCAUGGCACAGGAUACACUGAUCCGUUCCAGCAGGCUGAAGGGUCAGUGGGAUGUUGUGUCCCCUCACCCUCAUGACUACUGUGCUUUAGCACGGGGAGCAGGACAGUGUCCAAAUCUCAGGGUUUGGGUGAAAUGUAAUGAUGGAGUUGGGAAGUUGCUGGUCAAAGGAUGUAAAGUUCAGAUGAACAGGGAAUGACUUUGAGUACUGUUACCUGUAGCCUAUGACACUCAGCAGUGUCCUAUAAAUAAUGCAAAGGAACUUUAAGAAAGGGGAAGCAUGUUUGAGGGUUUAAAAAGCUUGUGGGGAACUUUUUUGGAAGAACAGAACUUAUAUGUUGGAAUUAGUGUUUGUAUUUCUAUAUUUUAAUUUAUUUUUUUUAAUCUGUAGAGACAUCCCUUAGAAACUAGAUUUGGUGCUGACCCAGGACCAUGUCUUCUUGUGCUCCCUGUCCUGUGUGGGAUUUGUGGCUCAGGCCUACUGUGGCCCCUGGUCUCUGUACCACUUCAUUUUCUGCCAAAUCCUACAUGAGUCUUCCUUUGCCCAUUCCCAGGUAAUAAAGUGAUUUCAGAAACAGUUAUACUCAUGAAUUUAUUAUACAAUUAAGCAGAAUAGGGUGGUUGAUUGACUUGGCAGAAGAAAUUUUCAUCUCCUAAAGUGUCAGGUGAUUGUGUUUGUAUAAGAAUUUUUUUCAACCUGUUCACUCACAGCGCUGGGAGGUAAGUGCCAGUCUUGAGAUUGCCUAAACGUUUUAAACAGUAUGUAGAUAGUACUGCCCCUACUCGCCCUGUGAUCCCAGGCAGUCACAUACAGAACAGGAUGGGGGAUCAGGAGACAUCAGCAGACCACAGGUGUGGAUAAAUGUUAAAGUGUGAGAAAUGAACACAGAACCUGCGGGGCCUGAUUGAAGGACCCUAUAAGACAUUGUCUGUGUGGUAGACUCUCCUGAGAUGGUAGAGUGGAAGGGGAAGGGCCUCCUCCAUUACAAGUCUCAGGGGGCAGGAUCGCCAGUGGGCUGGGAAAGUGAUGCCUCUAGGUGAGAUGGGUAUUCAAUGCCACAGUAAAUUGAUUUGUAUUUUACAAGCACUGUAAAUGCGAAGGAUAUUGAAAGGUAGCCUGGAAAACUUCAGUGUAUGGGCAUAGAGCUCAUGCGCACGCAUGAGUGGCCAAUGAACAAUACCCGGCCCUCCUCUCUCGGACUUAGCCACGCCCUUCAUUAGAUCCUGAGGGGAUUUUUCAGAACAGAGGUUAUGGCAGUUUCACCAUCCAAUUCCAUUUUUAGCAGGUGUGCUUCCUGGCCAAAGGAGUCAGAUGAGUGCAUGAGCAGCCCCUUCGAGGACAAGGCUUGGAUUCCCAGGAGCAGACAAGGAACUCUGUGGGCAUACUCCAAGGAAACUGGACCUCCUCUGUCACAGGACAUCCACUGUUUAAGCACCAUCACUACCUCAGGAAGUCCACUGUCUGUGUGUCAACUCCACUGUUACAGGACCACAAGUGUCUCAGCACUUCAACUAUCACAGCACCUCUACUGUUCAGGAGCUCAAGAGUCUCAGCAUCUCAAGUGUCACAGGACCUCCUUUGUCCAAGAACUGGACUGUCCAAGCAACACUACUAUUGCAGGACUUCCACUGUAGGAGCACUACAACUGUCUCAGGACACCCACUGUCCUAUAACCUCCACUAUCCCAGGAAUUCCACUGUCGUAGCACCACCCGUAGCAACUAAAGUGUUUCAGGACAUCAACUGAAGCAAGAUCUCCCAUGAUUCUGCAACUUCACUGCCACAGGAUCUCUACAGUGACAGGAAUACCCCUGUAUCAGCAAUUCCAAUUUUGCAGGACCUCCACUGUAGCAGAACCUUCAAUUGUGCAGCAGCUCCCCUGUAAGUAGAUUGACCGCCACGAUCUCAGUGCCUCCACUUUCAAAGGACCUUCACUGUCACAGAACCGGCGCUAUUUCAGUGCCUCCACUGUCACAGGACCUACCUCUUCACAGGAUCUGCACUGUUGCAGCAACUGUAAUUUCAAUUUUUCAAAGUCAUUGCUGGUUAUUAGAUUUGAGGCUGAAUGAAAUGUGAUGCUACUUUUGACAGCAUAAGAAUUUGUUCUAUAGCUCUUGUGAUAAAUGCCGUGUGUGCUAGGACCAGUAACCUAUGGAAGACUUCAUGAGCUCAUACCACUCUCCACCUCACUUUGUGGAAGCUGGUGUUUUUAGAGUGUGAUAAACUUCAGGUGAAUGGAUUCAUUCAGCUGCACCACGCUCUAUAGUGUGCUACACAGCAAUCAUAUUGAGUCCUUGCUGGGAAGAGAAGAAAUCCAGAAGAGGGAGAAGGCUUGGGUUGGGGGAAGAAUCAUAAAAUACUUAGAGGAUAUAAGAAGGUAAGAAUUAUGGGGAACUGGAAAACAGAGCCAGAGGAAGAAUGAGCACAGAGCAAACUGGGAAGGACAAAGUACAAAGGCACGUGGGUUUUGCCAUCUGCGUGUUCUCUGGACAAUCUCCCUUGGCCUCAUUUCUGGGAGAAAACUCUUCCUCCACCCCCUUGUAAUGUUUCAUUCUUGAAGGAAAGCAGCAACACAACUUCAUCAGUGAAUUUCCCCAUUGUAAUUGGUUCAUCCUUUAAUGCCUCUGGGAAAUCCCGAGCUGGGGAAUGUCCUGCUCUCUGCUGAGAGACAGCCGGAAAGUAGGUUGUCCUCUGUUUUCUCGUUGCUACAGCUCUUCUAAGUGUGGAUGAUUGUUGAGUGAAGACACAGGACACUUCUGGUGUGUAUGUAUGCUUUGUUCACUGUGGGUGUUGUCGGGAGUGUCCUGAAAAGAAGAAGGGCAUGCCCAAUGACUCUUUGCUUCCUCUUUGACUAGCCUUAUGAUCAUAGAGAUACACUAGGCCAUUGGAAGAUGAGGAGAACAAUGUGUCUAUGUUGUGUUCACUUCUAUUCCUAUUUAGUCCUAGAGGGAAAUCAGGAAGGGUAGAGAAUGGGACCGUAACUGGACAAAGCUGCUGAGCCUGUGUUGUGAAGCAAUUCCUGUGUAUAACUUGCUGUUACAUUAAGCAAUAGGAUGCCAUGUUCUGGUUAUACCUUUUUGAUGCAAUGAAUCUAUAAUAUUUUACCUAAAACCUCAAUAUAUUACGUUUCUUCCUCUUUUGGAGUAUCUGGUAUGGGAGGGAUCACUUCUUCAUAAGGAUUUGUGAACCUCUUCCAGUUUUCAUUGACCAGGGGUACAUCAUCACCUCUGAGACUGUCAGCCCAUAGUUUGGAUUGACUUUUAUUAAGAGGCUAAGCUGCCUCUUCUGACACCCCACAGUGAGCAGGGUACACACCUGCUACAACCUGUCUUCUGAACUGUUGUAUGACAACAGAGUCAAAUACAACAGUGAAAUAUAAGCCUACUCCCAAGAUCCAUACGUUGUUGUUGUUUAUUUUUUUACACCAUCAUAAAGUUGUCCUAGGAAGAGAUCAGGUGCACCAAUAGGGUAAGCACCAUGCUGCCAGUUCAGCAUUUGCCCAGGUUUGUCUUGAGUUGAAGACCAAAGUCGAUGCUUUUGACUUUUCCGUUCUUCUCUAACAGAAUAUAAUCUGGUUUCAGGUCACUGUGAACUUAUACAGUGCCCAUAGCCAUAGAUAAAGACUGCUAACAUUUGCCUAAAUAUUUCCUUGGCUCCUUCCUCCUCUCGGUGGAAAGAUUUUCAGAUGUAUUUGUAAAGCUCUAAAAUUUCAACCAGUUUCACGAUAAGUUAUUAGAAUUGUCUCAGACUCAAUUGGAGAAGCAAGAUGAUGUUGGGUUGGAUGAAAAACUUCAUUAUAUUUGCCAUGGUCAUGUUUGGCUGGCACCAUUGCUUCUUCUUUGCAUGCACUUUGAUAACCCCUGUAGCAGAACUUCCACUGUCCCGGCACCUGAACUAUCCCAAGACCUCCACAGUCAAAGGACCAAUAUUGUGGUAGGGCGUCUGUGGUCAGGCAACUCCUCUGUCUCAGACCCUCCAAAUUGCAAGACCUUUACGGGCACUGGAAGUCACUGUCCAUAAACUUCCACUGUUGGAGUACCUCAACUAUAACAAGGACCUCUACUAUUGUACAACCCCCUUGUCAUAGCACGUCUAUUGUUACAAAGUAGUCCACUGUCAAAGGACCUCCAGGGUCUCAGCCUCUCCACUGUUACAGGAUCUCUACUGUCUUAGGACCACUGCUGUUGGAGGACCUCCUGUCUCUCAGCAACUUCAGUUUGUUGGAGCUCUCCUAUCAGAGGACAUUUACAUUUUCUGUACUUCCAGUGUCACAGCUGUUAUAAGAACCUCCGUUCUCACAGGACCUCCAGUGCGUCAGUACCUCCACUGUCCAAGGACUUUUAUAUAGUAGGACCUCUACUGUCCUACAGAAUGUCCACUGUCGCUAGAUUUCCACUGUCACAACACCGCAACCAUUACAAGAACUGCAAUUUUGGCAUGACCUCCAGUGUUCCAGCCCCUCCAGUGUCAUAGGACCUCCACUAUCACAGGACGUCCACUGUCUCACCAAGGCCAAUUUAAAGGACCUCUACUAUAACAGGGUAUCCACUGUAGCUGGACUUACACUGUUGCAGUACCUCAACUGUUGCAGGACCAACAAGGUUGCAGGACAUAGACCCUCUCGGCAGCUAGAAUUUGCAGGACCUCUACUGGCACAAAAAUUCCACAGUUGCUGGAGCUCCACUGUCACUGCAAAUGCACUGUCUCAUGAUAUUCACUGUUGCUGGACCAGUAGUGUGGCAGCACAUCCAUUUUUGCCAAGCCCCUCCACUGACGCAAGACUUCCACUUUUGUAGCACCUUCACUGUCCAAGCAAACCAACUCCUGCAGGAUCUCCAUUGUCUCAGGGCAUUCACUAAUGCCAGCUCUCCAAUGUUGUAAGAUAUCCACUUUCACAACAGCUAGAAUCUUGCAGGACCUCUACUGGCAAAGACAGUCCACUGCUGCUGGCUCUCUACGGUCAGUGCCAAUGCACCGAUUCAUGACCUCCAUUGUCACAGGACCUCCACUUUUGUAGGACCUUCACUGUCCAGGCAAACUGCAGGAUCUCCAGUGUCUCAGGACAUUUACUGGUGCAGAGCCUCCCUUUAUUCCAGACUUCAACUAUUCCAAGGUCAUCUACACUGUCUUAGGACCUCCAAUAUUGCAGGACCUCAAAUGUCCCAGGACCUCAGGUGACAUAGCACCUCCAUUGUCCCAACACCCUUACUGUCCCAGAACCUCAAUUUUCCCACGACCUAUUCAGUUGCAUGACCUCCAAAGUUGGAAGAACUGCACGGUAUGAGAGCCUCAACUGUUGUAGGACCUCCAAUGUUGUAGGAACACAAUAUUCCUACACUGGACCUACACUGUCCAUCACCUUCACUUUCCUAGCACCUCCACUCUCACAGAACCUACACUGUUGCAGGAACUCCAUUGUCUGAGCACCUGCAUGUCUCAGGACCUCGAAUGAUCCAGAACCUCUAAUGGUGCAGGACCUCCACUGUCACCAGACUUCCACUGUCUCAGGACAUCCACUCUAUCACCAACUAGACUUUUGCAGAACUUCUACUGGAACAGGAUCUCCAUUGUGGCUGGUCUUACAUUGUCUAAGGCCUCCACUAUCACAGACUUUCAGAUGAAUUUGUAAAGCUGUAGAACUUCAAAGAGCUCCAUGAGAAGGUAGACGUGUCUCAGACUCAAUUCCUUGGUGAAGCAAUAUGAAUUUGGGGUGGAUUAAUAUCUUCAUUAUAUUUGCCAUGGUCUGGUCUGGGUGGCAUCCUUGCUGCUUCUUUCCAUGCAUUUUGAUAACCAUUGUAGCAGUACUUCCACAGUCCCAGAACCUGCACUACCCUAAGAACUCCCUUGUCACAGGACAUCCACUCUGGUAGUACCUCGGCUGUCAGGAAACUCCACAGACUCAGUACCUCCAAACUGCAAGAUCUCUACUGGCACAGGAAUUCUACUGUCCCUGAACAUCCACUGUCACAGCACUUCAACUGUUUCAAGGACCUCUAUUGUCGCAAGACCUCCUAUAUCACGGUUAUAAGGACCUGCAUUGUCAAAUGACCUCCAUUGUCUCAGCCCUUCCACUUUCUCAGGACCUCCAAGCUGCAGGAACUCUACUGGCACAGGUUAUCCAUUGACACUGCUUUUCCACUGUUGCAGUACCUCAACUGUUAUAAGGACCUCCGCUGUGGCAGGACCUUCAGUGUCUCAUCAACUUCACGGUGAGCAACACCAAUGUGCAAGACCUCUACUAGCACAGUAUAUGCACAGUAUCUAUACUUAGACUGUUGCAGUACCUUAACUGUUGCAGGACCUCCAAUUUAGAACAUGCACUCUUUUAGCAGCCAGACUUUUGCAGGACCUCUACUGGCACAAUAAUUCCUCUGUUGUUGGACCUCUACCGUCAGUUCAAUGGCACUGACUCAUGACAUCCACUGUUGCAGGACCUCCAAUGUUGAAGGAUGUUCACUGUUGCAGGGCAUUCCCUGUCAAAGGACCUCUGUUGAUGCAGGAUCUCCACUUUCACUGUUCUAGCAAACCAACUAUUGCAGAACCUACAGUGUUGGAACAACUGCAUUGUAUCAGGACAUUUACUGUUGCAUGACCUGUAGUGUGGAAACACCCCCAUUUUUACCACAUCUCAGCUGUCCCAGGCCCAUCUCCACUGACUGAGGACCUCCAAUAAUGCAGGACAUCCAAUAUUUCAGGACCUCAAAUGUGCCAGGACCUCAACUGAUGAAGGAUCUCCAAUAUCGCAGCACCAAAACAGUCACAGGACCUCCAUUGUCCCAUCACCUUUACUGUCCCAGCACCUCCACUCUCACAUGACCUACAAUGGUGCAUAAACUCCAAUGUCCGAGCAACUGCACUGUCUCAGGACCUCGAUUGUUCCAGAACCUCCAAUAGUGCAGGACCUCCACUGUCACCAGAUCUCCACUGUCUUAGAACAUCCACUCUAUCACCAACUCGACUUGUGUAGAACCUCUCCUGGCACAGCAUCUCCAUUGUGCCUGGUCUGACAUUGUAUCAAAACUUCAGCUAUCACAGGAAUUCCACUGUAGCAGGACCUCCUCUGUCUAAAGACAACCCCUAUUGCAGGACCUUUACUGUGCAAGGAACUCCACUGUUGCAGGACAUCCAUUCUUGCAACACCUGCAUUGUCUCAGGACCUCCACUGUACCAAUCCCAUCUCCAAUGUCUCAGGACGCCCACUCUUUCAGGACCUCCACUGUUGCAUGAUCUUGAAUGUAAAAGGACCUUCGCUAUCUCAGUGCCUCCACUGUUGCACGAACUACAAUGUCUCUCAGUGCCUCCACUGUUGAAGGACCUACAAUGUCACGGGUGCUGCACUGUUUUAUCAACACCACUAUCACUUAUUACAAGGCUUUGCUGGUUAUUUUGAAGCUUAAUGGAGAAUGAUGUUACUUUUGACAAAAUAAGAAUUUGUUCCAAAUCGCUUGUGAUUUAUUGCCAUAUGUGCAAGGAUCAGUUGCCCCUAGAAGAUUGCAUGAAUCCAUAGGCCUCUAGACCUCACGUUGUGGGAACCGUUUCCUUUUGGUGGUGAUACCGUCCUGGUAAAGGCAUGGGGUAACAGGACAACUCUGAAGUCUGGAGUACACAUCAGUCAUAUUGAGUCCUUGUUCGGAAGAGGAGAAAUCUAGAAGAGGGAGAAGAAUUGGCGGAAGAAUCAUACAGUACUUAAAAAGUUAAGACAGAAACGAUUUUGCAGAAAUGGAUACCAGAGACAGGGCUAAGCAACACAGAGCAAACUGGGUAGAACAAAGCACAAAGGUACCUGUCCUUGCCUGCCUGCCGCUUAUUUUUUGGAUGCUGUCUCCAGCCCUCAUUUCUCAGGAGAGAUACUGUCCUGUCCCAGGAGAGUUUUCUUGCUUGAUUGAGCACAGGAACACUGCUUCAUUUGGAUAUUCCUAAUUUCUUGGACCAUCCCUUGAAUCCUCUUAGCCAGCCAUUGAUGGGGACAGACUCGCCCUCUCCUCAUGCACAGAGAGAUAAUAGGUUGUCUUCUGUGUUCUCAUUGAUGCUUCUGUUCGGCCUGAGGCUGCUUGUUGAAUGAAGGAAGAAGACACUCUGGCAUGUAUGUUUUGUCCAGGUCAUCUCUAGUGGCCUGAGAAGAAAGCCAGUCCCAGUGGUUCUUCUGAAAGCUCUAUGACUAGAAUAUGGACAAAGGCAUAAAUGAGGCCAUGGGGUUGACAAGUCCAAUGUGUCAAUGGUGGGUUGGUUUCCACUCCUCUGCAGUCCAGUCCUAGAGGGACAGCAGCAUAAUCAUUAAGGGUAGGGAAUGGAGCCAUUACUAGACUCACUGUCUGAGCCUGGGUAUGAAGCCAGCCAUCAGAAUUGCCUGUCCUUCCAGUAAGCAGUUGGAUGCCAUGAUCCGCUUAGACUUUCUUUGAUGUAAAGAAUCUUUGUCUUGUGUUUUGAAUGGAACAUGUUGCACUACAUCCAAAAUUCCAGGGUGUGGCCUGAGAGGUAUCAUUUCUUCAUAGGGAUUUGGGAAACGCUCCCAAUCUUCUUUGAAACAGGGGUGCAUUAUCAUGUCUGUGACUGCUAUUUCUGGGUUUGACUGUUAUUAAAUGCUAAGCAGGUCAUCUAGCUCUCUUGAAACCCCACAGUGGUCAAGAUGUACACCUGCCACAACCUGUCUUUUCAGCUCUUAUAUUAAAACAGAGGUAACUUUUUCAGCUACCAUAAAAUGUAAGACUAACAUUCAUAUGUGGUUCUUUGGACCAUCAUAAGUAUAACCCAGGAAGAGUUCAGGGGCAUCAAAAGUGUUAGCACCAUAGUACAGGUUCAGCAUUUGCUCUGGUUUGUCUUGGGUACUAAGGCCAGUGUCGAUGAUUUUGACUUUAUUGUUCUUAUCCACCAUUUUAUUUGUUUUGAAGUCCUGUAUUUAUUCUGUGCCCCUGACAGUAGAUCCAGGCUGCUAAUAUCUGCAUAAGUAUUUCCCAUGCCUUGUCUUUCACUAUGUAGCCAUACUUUCAGAUACAUUAAUGAAGACAUUGAACCUCACACAGCUCCAUGACAAGGAAUCUACUUGUUUUCGUCUCAAUUAUUGAAGAUGAUGUUGGAGUGGUUAACCACAAUUGUCAUCAUUGCCGUGGUCAUUAUUGGAUGGCAUAAGUGCUUCUUCCUCUUAAGGACUUGGAGGCCACUGUAGCAGGACAUCCACUGUCUUAGCACCUGCUUUUUCCCCACACCUCCACUGUGCUGACUGUCCAAGCCUAUUUUGUGCUGUCUUGCCUGUGAAAUUCCUGCCUUUGCAGAAGGAAGUAGGAUGCCAUGGUCUGCUUAUAAUUUUGUUCAGUUGAAGUGUCCUUAGUUUCCAGCACUUGGAAUCCUAUAUAUUCCAUUGCUCUUAUACUUACAGGGUCUGGCCUGAGGGGGAUCAGUUGCUCAUAGGGAUUUGGGAACUGCGUCUAGCCUUAGUUGAACUAGGGUUGCAUCAUGACCACAGUGACUUUUGGCCUAUAUCUAGGGUUGACUGUCAUUAGGAGGCUAAGUAGGUCCUUCUGACACCACACCAGAGGCACCACACACUCCUGCUACAACCUGUCUUCUCAACUCUAGAAUGAAGAGAGAGUCAAAUGGAAACUUUCUGACUGCCAUGAAAUAUAAACCUCCACCUAAGCGUCAAAUUUAGUUCUUUGGAACGUCAUAAAAUUUGCCAAAGAAGAGUUCAGGAACACAAAAAGUAUAAGUACUGCAGUGCUGGUUCAUCAUUUACCCUGAUUGGAAUGGGAUACUAAGGCCAAAGUUGGUAAUUUUGACUUUCCCAUUGAUGUACAACACAAUAUUCUUUGGCUUUAGGUGCCUGUGAAAUAUUGUGUGCCCAUAGCAGUAGCUCAUCACAGCUAUUAUUUACACAAUAUUUUGCUGGCCUUGCCUUGCUCUAGGUAGCCAUACUUUUGGGUGUAUUUGUAAAGCUGUUGCCCUUCAACCAGCUCCAUGAAUAGAUGUAUUGUUUUGGUCUAAAUUACUUGAAGAAUCGAGAUGAUGUUGUGGUGAUCAACCAUCAUCAUCACUUCCAUGGUCAUUGCUGGCUGGCAUUAUUUCUUCUCUAAUACAAGGACUUUGUUGGACACUGUCACAGGAACACCAGUGUGGUAGAAACUCUGUUGUCAAAUCAACUCCACAUUCUCAGGGCCUCCAAAUUGCAGGGCCUCUCCUGGCACAGGACAUACACUUUCCCUGUACUUCUACUCUCACAGAGUCUCAACUUUUCAGGACCUGAACUAUUGUAGGACCUUCACUGUUGCAGAAAAUUGAUUCUCUCAGCAACUAGUAUGUUGCAGGACCUCAGCUCGCAGAGAAAUUCCACUGCUGCAGGACCUGCAAUGUCAAUGUAAAUCUAGAGUCUCAAGACCUCCACUGUUGCAGGAGCUCCAGUGUUGUAGGAUGUCCAAUUUUGCAGGGCCAUCACUGUCAAAGGACCUCCUCUGUCACAGCCUAGACCUUCAGACUUAACUGUAAAACUAGUGGCAUUCAAGUAGCACCAUGACAAGGUAUUAUCUUGUCUCAGACUCAAUUACUUGCGUAGUGAAAUGAAGUUAGAGUGGUCAAAAAUCAUCAUCGUUACAAGCACUUUGAUGUGCACUGUAGCAGGACAUCCACUGUUCCAGUGUGGCUUCUGUCCCAGUACCUCCACUAUCACUGGACCUCCAGUGUCAUAGGACCUUCUCACUAACAGCGGCUGCAUUGUCAGGACCCUCAAUUUUCAGGACAUCUACUGUCACAGUGUGUGUACUGUUGCUGGACUUUCAUUGUCACUGCACCUAAACUGUCACAAGGUCAUCCAAUGUCACAGAGCAGUGUCUCAGCACCUCUACUCUCCCAGGACCCCACAGUCACAGGACCUCCAAUAACUCAGGAAAUCCAAGUUCCAUUACCUCAACUGGCAUAGCAUGUCCACCCACUGAUGUUGGACUUUCACUGUGGUAGCACCUCAACUAUCACAUGAAGCCCACUAUUGAACGACCUCCACUUUUCAGGACAUCUAUUUCCUCUGAAACUAGAAUUGGCAGGACCUCCUCUGUCACAGUACGUCUACUGUCGAAGCACUUCCACUAUCACAGGACCUCUAGUGCUGCAAGGCUUUCACUAUUAUAGCAUUUCUAUUGUCGCCACACCUCUACUGGCUCUCCUACACCUGUACUGUCCCAUCACCUCCUAGGUCAAAGAUCCUGACUCGUGCAUCAAUUGAAGUUUUUCAAGACCUCCACUGUAGCAGCAUAUCCACUGUCCCAGCUGCUACUCCACUGUCAAAGGACCUGAAAUGUCUUAGGAACUCCACUGUUACAGGACCUCAACUGAUGAAGCACCUCAACUGUCACAGUACCUCCACUCUUGCAGUACCUCCAAAAACUCAGCCACUCCACUGUCACAAGUCUUCCAAUUUGAAGGAACUCGACUGUUGCAGCACCUCCACAGUUGUCGAAGCACCAUUGAUAUGGCACUUCCCCUGUCCUGGGACCUCCAUAGCUUCUACUCUAUAUUCUGAGGACCUCAACUGUUGAAGCACAUCCACUGUCCCAGGACCUCCAUUGACAAUGGACCUCAUUGUGUCAGGAACACCACUUUUGCUUGGUCUGUCCCUAUAACCUCUGGGCUGGCACUAGCUGAGGACAGACUUUCUCCCUACUGAGGCA